GAUGAAGAACGUAGCGAAAUGCGAUAAGUAAUGUGAAUUGCAGAAUUCAGUGAAUCAUCGAAUCUUUGAACGCACAUUGCGCCCAUUAGUAUUCUAGUGGGCAUGCCUGUUCGAGCGUCAUUUCAACCCUUAAGCCUCUGUUGCUUAGCGUUGGGAGCCUACCUACCCGGUAGAUCCUCAAAGUUAGCUGGCAGGGUCGAGGUUCGCCCUAAGCGUAGUAGUUCUUUCUCGCUUCUGCGGCUGCCUAGGCCAUCGCCACAAGCCUUUUAAACUUCAAUGGUUGACCUCGGAUCAGGUAGGAAUACCCGCUGAACUUAAGCAUACAAUAAGCGGAGGA
rnacentral:misc_RNA from 1 species